AUUUAUAUAGUAUAAUUAAUUAUAGUUAAUUUCCAAUUAAAAGAUUUAAUUGAGUUUAAUAUAGAUA
rnacentral:tRNA from 1 species